rnacentral:rRNA from 1 species
CCUACGGGAGGCUGCAGUGGGGAAUAUUGCGCAAUGGGCGAAAGCCUGACGCAGCGACGCCGCGUGAGGGAUGAAGGUCUUCGGAUCGUAAACCUCUGUCAGCAGGGAAGCACGGUCACUGUGCUAAUCAGCAGUGAAUUGACGGUACCUGCAAAGGAAGCACCGGCUAACUCCGUGCCAGCAGCCGCGGUAAUACGGAGGGUGCGAGCGUUAAUCGGAAUUACUGGGCGUAAAGCGCUCGUAGGCGGUAUGUCAAGUCAAGGGUGAAAUCCCCGCGCUCAACGUGGGAACGGCCUUUGAAACUGGCAAACUGGAGUGUGUGAGAGGAUAGAGGAAUUCCAGGUGUAGGAGUGAAAUCCGUAGAUAUCUGGAGGAACAUCAGUGGCGAAGGCAGCGCACUGGACUGCAACUGACGCUGAGGCUCGAAAGUGUGGGUAUCAAACAGGAUUAGAUACCCGUGUAGUC